UAUUAGUUUAACAAAAACCUCAUUUUCUACCAACCAAAGGGCUAGGAAUGCUUGCUAUCAGAUAGCAUCUGAGACCUGAACCUGAGAUUUCUCCACCUGGCAGGAACCCUACCUCUCUGGCGUUCCCACCAAUGCAGACAGGCAUCUGCAGAAGCAGGACUAUUCCUUAGUCAGAACAACAGGAGGGCCACGGUUUCUCCUGGGAGUGGAGACUGCAUAGCGGGGUCCAAUCCAGGAAUAUGCUGUGUUUAGUCCCAAGACUCAGGAACUCAGGAACACAGGAGAAUAACAAGAGUGAGAGAACCUGUUGCCUUUGGUACAGCUCUGGGCUGCAUAAUGAUGUUUCCGCCGAGGACUGCAGAAAAGAACACAACAGUGGCCUCAUGGGAGAAGCUAGCUCAGUGACGUCAUAGCUGUCUAACUCACUCUGAGAUGUUCACAUUGCCAUGACUCAUCCUCUGACCACCGUGUGGUGAAGCAAGCCACGACUGAACAUUCAGUCCUAACUGAUAGUAUCUAAGAGAAGAAAUUAGCAGGUUCUGAGGCUUUCAGAACUCACACAUACAAAAGGGCGGGUAAAUAUCAAAACAAGUUCUUGUGAUUUAAUGUAAUUUAAAAUUUUGUUUGGGCCUGAGGAUGAGGCUCAGGGGUUAAGUGCUUGUUUAGCAAGCAUGAGGCCUGAGUCCAACCUCGGCAAGUGGAAAAAACUUAUUUUUCUGACCUCGUCACAUGCCAGUCUCUCCCAUAAAGCUUUAGCAGUGCCACACAAACAC
rnacentral:lncRNA from 1 species